CCCCUGACCAGCCCCGGGCUGGUCCCCCCCCCAGGCUGGCCCCGGCAUCCCCGCAACGGCGCGGGCGAUGGGCCGUGCCACCCCGCUCGCACGGUCCCCUGCCGAAGCCCUCGGGGCUCCUGCUCCCCCCGUCCCCCUGCGCCUCCCUGGAGAGCUCCGGCCCCAUCCGCAGGGGCAGCUGCUGGCUCCUAACUCCCCAUCAGCACCCAGCUCGCCCUGUUUCCCGCGGGGGUCGGUACCUCCGAGGACGUGGGCCUUCCUCUUGCGUCCCUUCAGGGUGCUCUGAUGCCCCACAUGGGUCCUGGGGGUGGCAAGGGGGUCAGCGCCUCCCCAGUUCCCUGCUGCACGUGGCCACCGGCCCUGGGGUGAGAAGGGACCCGGGCGGCGCUGGAGAAGCUGCUGCACAAGCGACAAGGCAUCAUCGGGAGCAGAUGUGCUGGGAGCGAUCGCAGCAGUAGCCAUAAUUUGUUUUUCCAGGCAGCUGUCCCUGCCAGCCUCUCACAGAUGAGGGUAAUGUUCACCUCCGCAAGCCCGGCGCUGCCCAGAGCCGCGUUCGGGAGCUGCCAGCCCUGCUGGCACGGCUGCGGGGAGGCUGCCGGCCCCUCUCCGAGCUGCCAGGAGAGCCUGGAGGAUGGAGUUUGCUGCUGCGUUUGCCUGCUUUGGAGCCCCCGGACAUCCCUGGGUGUGAUCGGCUACUCCGGGUUAUCGCUGGUAGCAGCUGGGCCCUUGCGUCUCUGGCGAUUACAGGGAGCUUCUUUCGGGCUGUGCGAGGGCAUGGGAUGGGAAGCUGGAUUCUUGCAGCCUGUGCUUGACCUACAUUAAGAACAAGAUUCAGCAUCAGCCUGUACUGUUUCGUCUGUAUUUCAAGAUGUGCAAUAAACAUGGGGUUAAUCAGCA
rnacentral:lncRNA from 1 species